rnacentral:rRNA from 1 species
GAUGAGCGCUGGCGGCGUGCCUAAUACAUGCAAGUCGAGCGAACGGACGAGAAGCUUGCUUCUCUGAUGUUAGCGGCGGACGGGUGAGUAACGCGUGGAUAACCUACCUAUAAGACUGGGAUAACUUCGGGAAACCGGAGCUAAUACCGGAUAAUAUUUUGAACCGCAUGGUUCAAAAGUGAAAGACGGUCUUGCUGUCACUUAUAGAUGGAUCCGCGCUGCAUUAGCUAGUUGGUAAGGUAACGGCUUACCAAGGCAACGAUGCAUAGCCGACCUGAGAGGGUGAUCGGCCACACUGGAACUGAGACACGGUCCAGACUCCUACGGGAGGCAGCAGUAGGGAAUCUUCCGCAAUGGGCGAAAGCCUGACGGAGCAACGCCGCGUGAGUGAUGAAGGUCUUCGGAUCGUAAAACUCUGUUAUUAGGGAAGAACAUAUGUGUAAGUAACUGUGCACAUCUUGACGGUACCUAAUCAGAAAGCCACGGCUAACUACGUG